CUGCUUUUGUUCUGACUUAUGUAAAAAUUAAUUGUUUAUGUUUUUGAGAUUAUUUUGAAAUUUUAUAUAUGGACGUUGUCAGUGUUUCUAUAUUUGUGUAAUUAGUUCGUGAAUGAAUCGAUCGAAUGAAUGUUUUAGUUUUCCUUAUGAAUCUGCAAUUUCCUUAAUUGUGAACUAUGUUUUCGGUUAGUUUCUUGUCAAUAAUUCAAUAUCAGUAAAAUGAACCUAAUCAGUGAAUCAGUUAAGACAUAUAAUAGUUAAUUUAUGAAACGAAGUGAAUUGAAUUUCAUGGACAGGAUUUAACUUAACUGAAUUGAAUGGACCGAACUCAACACUUAAAUAAAGUAAAGUAAUACAUACUCAUCGGUUCCGAAGUGUGAGAUCGGUCAUUUGUUUACCACCCGGGGUGAAACAAUUAUAUAAGGACCAAGAUAUAAGGACC
rnacentral:lncRNA from 1 species